ACAAACUUGGUCAUUUAGAGGAAGUAAAAGUCGUAACAAGGUUUCCGUAGGUGAACCUGCGGAAGGAUCAAUACCGAGAUCUGGGUUCCUCUUUUGAGAGCCCGACCUCCCAAACCCUUUGCUUAUUUAUCAAACUUGUUGCCUCGGCGGGCCGCCGGCCGCUGGAAAGCACCGCCGCCGGGCUCUAAGAGCCCCGUCGAGUGCCCGCCGAAGGGUUAUUUCAGAAGACUCUUUUAAGAAUCAGAUGCAGCCUAAGAAGCCCUUUUCGAGGGCGUAAAUCAAAGCAAAAACUUUCAACAACGGAUCUCUUGGUUCUGGCAUCGAUGAAGAACGCAGC
rnacentral:misc_RNA from 1 species